rnacentral:rRNA from 1 species
GACGAACGCUGGCGGCGUGCUUAACACAUGCAAGUCGAACGGGUCUGCCCUGUUUUUUGCGGGGUGGGUCAGUGGCGAACGGGUGAGUAACACGUGAGUAACCUGCCCCUCACUUCUGGAUAACCGCUUGAAAGGGUGGCUAAUACGGGGUGUUCUGGCUGUGCCGCAUGGUGUGGCUGGGAAAGAUUCACUUUUGUGGUGUUUUGGUGGGGGAUGGGCUCGCGGCCUAUCAGCUUGUUGGUGGGGUGACGGCCUGCCAAGGCUUUGACGGGUAGCCGGCCUGGGAGGGUGGGCGGUCACACUGGGACUGAGAUACGGCCCAGACUCCUGCGGGAGGCAGCAGUGGGGGGUAUUGCACAAUGGGCGGAAGCCUGAUGCAGCGACGUCGCGUGAGGGAUGGAGGCCUUCGGGUUGUGAACCUCUUUCGCCGGUGAAGAAGGUCCUGCUCUUUGUGGUGGGGUUGACGGUAGCCGGGUUAUGAAGCGCCGGCUAACUACGUG